rnacentral:rRNA from 1 species
UACGUAGGGUGCGAGCGUUAAUCGGAAUUACUGGGCGUAAAGCGUGCGCAGGCGGUUGUGCAAGACAGAUGUGAAAUCCCCGGGCUUAACCUGGGAACUGCAUUUGUGACUGCACAGCUGGAGUGCGGCAGAGGGGGGAUGGAAUUCCGCGUGUAGCAGUGAAAUGCGUAGAUAUGCGGAGGAACACCGAUGGCGAAGGCAAUCCCCUGGGCCUGCACUGACGCUCAUGCACGAAAGCGUGGGGAGCAAACAGG